UACGUAGGGCGCAAGCGUUGUCCGGAAUUAUUGGGCGUAAAGAGCUCGUAGGCGGUUUGUCGCGUCUGCUGUGAAAACCUAAGGCUCAACCUUGGGCUUGCAGUGGGUACGGGCAGACUAGAGUGCGGUAGGGGUGACUGGAAUUCCUGGUGUAGCGGUGGAAUGCGCAGAUAUCAGGAGGAACACCGAUGGCGAAGGCAGGUCACUGGGCUGACACUGACGCUGAAGCGCGAAAGCUAGGGGAGCGAACGGG
rnacentral:rRNA from 1 species